CUUAGGGAUGUGCGGUUGAGGAGGAAAUAUGUUUCUUUAUUGGGAUCCACAGAUGCAUACAUGUAGAUGCCCCCAAGCUCAGAACUGCAAUCCUAUUUUGAAUGACAAUAUCCAUAUAGGGCUCAGAUGCCAGAGAGAAGCUGAAAGAGAUAAUUAGGGAAAGCCAAAUAGUAACAAGAAAAACAACCAUGAAUUCUUGGAACAUACCAGCUGGAUCCGUGACUGUCACUGUGACCAUGCACACAGAGUUAUAGCUACAAGUCUUGGGAAUUCCUAAAGAGCUGCAAAAACAUUAAUUAAAGAAUUUGCAUUUUGAGGAAGUAGAACUGGUAAAAAGAGUGGAGUCCUAUUCUAGACCUGAGAAAGUUGAACUGAUAUAUACUGUCACAGAAUCAGAAGGGAAGAAAAGGCUCACAGAUAGUUACCAUCUCAAUGAGUCCUACUUGAAGGCUUUGCAUCAGUCAGACAAGCUUUUACUGCUGCGUUUUGCCCAGAUCUUGGCAACUCUGAAAAUCGUUUGUGUGGAAGAAAAUACUUUCGAGAAAUCAGUGUCUGUUUUUGUUCUCUUUUACUACCUCUGCAUCAUUUCUUAUGGGUACCUUUUUGCACCUCCCUGGUCUCCUACUCCUCAGUCCGCAUACUGUACUUACUUUCCAGCUUUAUGCCAUUCCUUCACCGCAUUUGCCUGGCUUAAAUAAGCUGCCUGGUUUGUGUGUUUCCUGCUGCCCGUGCCACUCCCCCCGCCAAGCUCCCAGCUUUGUUGCUGUUGUUUCCCCUUCCUACGCCGUGGCUGAACCCGAGCUAGCCAGGUAGGAGCGUAGCAGGCUCUUUACGGCUAAGACCCCGGAGAGCUGUAAACUCGAUUACCACUUACAUCAGUUACUGAACUGAAAGGGCUGAGAAGCCAGGCCAAGAUCCUGAGUGCAGCGUGCGCGGGGCCCGCGGCCGGAGAACGGGCGCUGGCUCUACUCCCCGCGCUGCUGCUGCAAGCGCCCUGCACAUGUCGGCGUUCAACGUGCCGCGCCGGCGGCGACUGCGUGCAUCCGGCGGCCCUUGUCCCGCUUGGGUUUUUGUUUUUAACGGAUUCAAGCUCAUAAACAUGGGGGCGGGGGGAUUGAAAGGCGAGCGUCCGGCAGCGAUGUCUGGUUUGCUCGGUGUCUGGUCUGUCGCUCCGUGAAACAGGCCCGUGGCUUGACAAGGACCCGAGUUGUUCCAGAAAUCAGCCACGAGGCGUUUCGAGCUGUUCUGGCCGCGCGCGCUCCGCUCCGCUCUGCUCCCUCCGGCCGUGAGGGGGCGGGUCCGGCCAUUGCUCCUCUCCCGCUCGCAGCAGCGUGCGGACGGCUUCGGAGCACUUGGCGCCGUCCUUCUCCAGGCCGGGGGCCGCCGCUUGCCUCCCUCCACGGGCCUCAUUUCCCGGCCUCCAGCUGCCUGCGUGAGGGGGCGGCGCGUCUCCUG